rnacentral:rRNA from 1 species
AUGAACGCUGGCGGCGUGCCUAAUCCCUGCCAGUCGCGCGAACAGACGAGGAGCUUGCUCCUCUGACGUUAGCGGCGGACGGGUGAGUAACACGUGGAUAACCUACCUAUAAGACUGGGAUAACUUCGGGAAACCGGAGCUAAUACCGGAUAAUAUAUUUAACCGCAUGGUUCAAUAGUGAAAGACGGUUUUGCUGUCACUUAUAGAUGGAUCCGCGCCGCAUUAGCUAGUUGGUAAGGUAACGGCUUACCAAGGCAACGAUGCGUAGCCGACCUGAGAGGGUGAUCGGCCACACUGGAACUGAGACACGGUCCAGACUCCUACGGGAGGCAGCAGUAGGGAAUCUUCCGCAAUGGGCGAAAGCCUGACGGAGCAACGCCGCGUGAGUGAUGAAGGUCUUCGGAUCGUAAAACUCUGUUAUUAGGGAAGAACAAAUGUGUAAGUAACUAUGCACGUCUUGACGGUACCUAAUCAGAAAGCCACGGCUAACUACGUG